UACGGAGGGGGCUAGCGUUGUUCGGAAUUACUGGGCGUAAAGCGCACGUAGGCGGCUUUGUAAGUUAGAGGUGAAAGCCCGGGGCUCAACUCCGGAAUUGCCUUUAAGACUGCAUCGCUCGAAUUGUGGAGAGGUAAGUGGAAUUCCGAGUGUAGAGGUGAAAUUCGUAGAUAUUCGGAAGAACACCAGUGGCGAAGGCGACACACUGGCCCGUUACUGACGCUGAGGCGCGAAAGCGUGGGGAGCAAACAGG
rnacentral:rRNA from 1 species